GUCAUUCCAACAGGUGGUGCAUCAAAAAAAACUAAUAGAAUACAUUGCAUUUGAAAUUCCAACAGGUGGCGCAUCAAAAAAAACUAAUAGAAUGCAUUGCAUCUGUUAUUCCAACAGGUGGCAGGCACAUCAAAAAAAAAAACCUAAUGGAAUGCAUUGCAUUUGUCAUUCCAACAGGUGGCGCAUCAAAAAAAAACAACUCAUAGAAUGCAUUGCAUUUGUCAUUCCAACAGGUGGCGCAUCAAAAAAAACUCAUAGAAUGCAUUGCAUUUGUCAUUCCAACAGGUGGCACAUCAAAAAAAAUUAAUAGAAUGCAUUGCAUUUCUCAUUCCAACAGGUGGCACAUCAAAAAAAAUUAAUAGAAUGCAUUGCAUUUGUCAUUCCAACAGGUGGCGCAUCA